rnacentral:rRNA from 1 species
CAGCCGCCGCGGUAAUACGGAGGGCGCGAGCGUUGUCCGGAUUCACUGGGCUUAAAGCGUCCGUAGCCGGGUUGGGAAGUCCUCCGGGAAAUCUGGCCGCUUAACGGUCAGAAUGCCGGAGGAUACUCCCAGCCUAGGGAGCGGGAGAGGCCGAGGGUAUUCCCGGAGUAGGGGUGAAAUCCUAUAAUCCCGGGAGGACCACCUGUGGCGAAGGCGCUCGGCUGGAACGCGUCCGACGGUGAGGGACGAAGGCCAGGGGAGCAAACCGGAUUAGAUACCCGGGUAGUCCUGGCUGUAAACGAUGCGGACUUUGUGUCGGACAAGCUAUGAGCUUGUCCGGUGCCGGAGGGAAACCGUUAAGUCCGCCGCCUGGGGAGUACGGCCGCAAGGCUGAAACUUAAAGGAAUUGGCGGG